CAAGAUCCACCAUUAUAAAGAGAAAAAUCACAGAAAGCUAUGAGAAAUGACCAAAGAGAAACAGAACAGUGUUUAUCUCCAUCAGGAAGCAUCUGGAACGGCUUAUUAGAGAUUCCCAGCUGCAGCACUUCAGGUAAAUAACAGAACACCUCCAAACCUUAGCAACAGGAAGGAACCCCCUAUAGCUGGGGAUGGUGGCACGCACCUGUAGUCCCAGCCACUCGGGAGGCUGAGAUGGGAGACUCGCUUGAGCCCGGGAGGUCGAGGCUGCAGUGAUCACGCCACUGCACUUAGCCUGGACAGAGAUCCCGUCUCAAAAAAAAAGAAAAGAAAAGAAAAGGAAUCCCCUAUGAUUACUUCAAGGACUGCACAUGACAAUACCUGAAAGGCAGUGGGAGCACAUAGCAAGCGUGCAAUGUCAGCCACUAUUACUAUAUAUUUAAAGCCUCUGGUAGAGAAGGCUUUAUGCGUUGGGAGCCCAAUUCAGCUCACAUUUGCUUUUACUGACAUUUGCUUUUACUGUGCUUCUUCCUCUCUCAAAAUCUCUCCCACGUUCACCCUGACCGUGCUCACUGGCUACUGCCCCAGAAACAGGCCUUGAAUUCCAAGCCUGCCCGCCCCGCCGCAGCCAGCCUGGUCCCGGGAUGCAAGGACGCAGAGUCCCGCGAGGCUGAUACCUUCACGAUGACAGCUUUGCGUCCGGAGUAGCGUCCAGCCAGGACAAGCACCACCUUCCCAGGUUUCAUGAACUUGCCCAUUUCUGCAGAGAGCAAGGAGAAAGGGCCACUUAAAAAUCCGUAAAGCCAAAGAUGCCCAGAGCUGACUCCUGCCAGCAAGCCCAGGUCUUGGGCCGGAACUUCAGACUGUGUUCACUGUCGCCUUGGUCCAGGCCGCCCGAGGGCCCUGCUCGCAGGACAGGAUCGGAUACGUAGCCGCCAGAGACCUAGGGAAGGAAUGCACCCGGCGCCGCCCGGACCUUCGACCCCCAAGCCGCGGAUGGCA